rnacentral:rRNA from 1 species
AUUGAACGCUGGCGGCAGGCCUAACACAUGCAAGUCGAACGAGUGGCGGACGGGUGAGUAAUGUCUGGGAAACUGCCCGAUGGAGGGGGGUAACUACUGGAAACGGUAGCUAAUACCGCAUACCAUCGGAUGUGCCCAGAUGGGAUUAGCUAGUAGGUGGGGUAACGGCUUACCUAGGCGACGAUCCCUAGCUGGUCUGAGAGGAUGACCAGCCACACUGGAACUGGGACACAGUCCAGACUCCUACGGGAGGCAGAAGUGGGGAAUAUUGCACAAUGGGCGCAAGCCUGAUGCAGCCAUGCCGCGUGUAUGAAGAAGGCCUUCGAGUUGUAAAGUACUUUCAGCGAGGAGGCGUUACUCGCAGAAGAAGCACCAGGUAACUCCGUGCCAGCAGCCGCGGUAAUUC